UACCUACAAAAGAAGCACCGGCAAACUAUGUGCCAGCAGCCGCGGUAAUACAUAGGGUGCAAGCGUUGUCCGGAAUUAUUGGGCGUAAAGAGCUCGUAGGUCGUUUGUUACGUCGGAUGUGAAAACCUGAGGCUCAACCUCAGGCCUGCAUUCGAUACGGGCAAACUAGAGUUUGGUAGGGGAGACUGGAAUUCCUGGUGUAGCGGUGGAAUGCGCAGAUAUCAAGAGGAACACCAAUGGCGAAGGCAGGUCUCUGGGCCAAUACUGACACUGAGGAGCGAAAGUCUGGGGAGCAAACAGGAUUAGAUACCCUGGUAGU
rnacentral:rRNA from 1 species